GCACAAGCGGUGGAUGAUGUGAUUAAUCGAUGCAACGCGAAAACCUUACCUACCUUGACAUGUCCGGAAUCCCGAAGAGAUUUGGGAGUGCUCGCAAGAGAACCGGAACACAGGUGCUGCAUGGCUGUCGUCAGCUCGUGUCGUGAGAUGUUGGGUUAAGUCCCGCAACGAGCGCAACCCUUGUCAUUAGUUGCCAUCAUUUGGUUGGGCACUCUAAUGAGACUGCCGGUGACAAACCGGAGGAAGGUGGGGAUGACGUCAAGUCCUCAUGGCCCUUAUGGGUAGGGCUUCACACGUCAUACAAUGGUCGGUACAGAGGGUUGCCAACCCGCGAGGGGGAGCUAAUCCCACAAAGCCGAUCGUAGUCCGGAUCGCAGUCUGCAACUCGACUGCGUGAAGUCGGAAUCGCUAGUAAUCGUGGAUCAGCAUGUCACGGUGAAUACGUUCCCGGGUCUU
rnacentral:rRNA from 1 species